UACGGAGGGUGCGAGCGUUGUCCGGAUUUAUUGGGUUUAAAGGGUGCGUAGGCGGCCUGUUAAGUCCGGGGUGAAAGCCCGUUGCUCAACAACGGAACUGCCCUGGAUACUGCCAGGCUUGAGUACAGACGAGGUUGGCGGAAUGGACCGAGUAGCGGUGAAAUGCAUAGAUACGGUCCAGAACCCCGAUUGCGAAGGCAGCUGACUAGGCUGUUACUGACGCUGAGGCACGACAGCGUGGGGAGCGAACAGG
rnacentral:rRNA from 2 species